AUAUUCCAUACUUCAAGACCUCUGCGAAGGAGGUCCACAACGUCGACACUGCUUUCCUAUGCAUCGCUAGGCUCGCCUUGGAGCAUGAGCAUGACCAAGACAUGUUGCCAAAUCCUGGCGACUCCCAGAUUGAUUUGCGGUUCUAAUAUAGAUAUGGAUCUACUAGGAGAAGCUUUAAUACGCUCGAUACCUGGCAUGAUGAGUUCCUCAAUCAAGCUGGCCCAUCGGAUCCUCAGCGCUUUCCGUUCAUUUUGGUCGGGAACAAGAUUGAUUUAGAUGACGGGAGCAAAC